CUUGGCGUCUGGCCUGACCGCAGUCCCAUUUUGGAGAUCUCUGGUCUGCAGUUUUACAUACUUGGGAUUGAAAGCAAAAGUUAAACGUUUAUGGAUGAGAAGACGCCAUUUUAGAGACUCAAAAAGCUUUCACAAAUGUUACUUAAAGAUGAUGAUAAUUUCACUAGUAAAUCAAUAGGAGCUGUGUUUACUUGACCAUCACACACAUAGUUUCCCUAAAUAAGAUGAACUUCUCACAUGGUGGUUGAAGUGAAAAGGCUAGGUAUUAGUUUCUCAUUAUGAAGGACAGACAGAAAGAUGCAUCUGAAAUGAUGCAAAAUUCUCAGAAAACACCAUCUCCUGAUCCCAGCUGUGUGUCUCUGAAGAGUGACAGAUCAAUGCAUCAUCUUCCUCCCGACCUCAGUGAUGGAGCAGUGACCUCUGACCCCAGGUGAGACACUGUAUAUUACAGACAAUAACCUGAUUUCACCUGCUAUAUUGAAAUUUCAAAUGAUGAUCAGGUGGGAAAACCUCUGAAAUAAACCAAGCAAUGUGAUAGUCAGGAGAUAAAGACAAGUUCAGAGUUUGCACCAUUAUAGUUAUU